rnacentral:lncRNA from 1 species
GAGAAUUAAGAUGAAGGUUGAGGUUGAAGUGAUCUCCAAGAAGAUUAUCAAGCCAUCAUCUCCAACCCCUGACCAUCUUCGCUAUUUGCAGCUCUCUUUUCUUGAUCAAUUAGCUCCCCCAGUCUAUAACCCUUUUGUCCUCUUCUAUGAAUUCAAUGGCGAGACACAGCCCAAAAUCACUGAAAUAUCCAGCCAUCUCAAAAAGUCCUUGGCCGACGUCUUAACCCUUUUCUACCCGCUAGCCGGUCGAGUCUUCAAACAAAACCAUUUUGUUGAUUGCAAUGAUGAGGGCGUUCCCUAUGUUGAAGCACAAGUCAAGUGCUCACUUUCUGAUUUUCUCAACAAUCCAAUUCCUGAUGAACUCAAGAAGUUCAUCCCAUUGGAGCUAGACGAUAUUGCCAAUGAACUUGCUCUAGGGGUUCAGCUCAACAUAUUUGAAUGCGGAGGAUUUGCUAUUGGUCAAUGUAUUUCUCACAAGAUUGCAGAUGGAUUGUCUCAUUUCAUGUUCAGUAAAACUUGGGCUGCCACAGCCCUGGGAGAUCAACCCCGAAUAGAACUUCCAGAGUUUGUUUCAGCAGCACUCUUCCCUCCAAAGGAGUUCAAUAUUGGAUAUGAUGCAGGCAUUGGCAUCACAAAGAACAGAGUAACAAAGAGGUUUGUGUUUGACGCCUCUAAGAUAGAGAGUCUCAAAACCAAAUAUAAAGGGAAGGACAGUUCAGGUUUUAACUCUCGAGUUUUGAGUUUGGAAAACAAAAAAGGACCCUCACGCGUUGAGGCCUUAUCUGCUUUCAUAUGGAGUCGAUUUGUGGCCACCACAAAGGAUGAUGCAGGACAUGAUGAGAAGCACUACAUAGUGCUUCAUUCUGUGAACCUGCGACCGAGGUUUGAUCCACCACUGCCACAACAUUGUUUCGGAAAUUUUUACCGUGGUGCCAUGACAGCUCCAUUCUUAUUAAGUAGUGGGGAAGAAUGCAAUUAUGGCGCAGUGAUCAUGAAGGUGCGAGAUGAAAUAAACAAGAUCAACAAUGACUAUAUCAAAAGACUACAACAGGGCAAUGAGCACUUGAGUGUUCUCCAAGAAAGUAGUGAUAAUGUUAUCAGAGGAGAGGUGGAUACAUUUAGCUUCAGUAGUUUUUGCAGAUUUCCUGUGUAUGAUAAUGAUUUUGGUUGGGGGAGGCCUGUGUGGGUGAGCUCGCCGCCAUUGACAUUCAAGAACCUGGUGGUUUUCAUGGACACCAAAGAGGCUGAUGGAAUUGAGGCAUACAUUAGUUUGGAGGAGGAAGUGAUGGCUAAAUUUGAAUGUGAUACCGAGUUCUUGGCUUGUGUUUCUCUAAGUGGUUGCUGAACUGUAAGGAAAAUGCGUCUGUUAUGG